UUGCCCCCUUUGCGCCCUUUCCACUUCUGGGCUGCUUGGUCGGGGUGGCUUGAGGCUGCUGGGCCUACCGAGGUUGGAGGUAAGCAUGGCCGCGUGCGAGGUGGAGCUGGCCUUGGAAUUGGUCUUUCCCCCGCGGAGCCCCUUAAACAUUGCGCACCUCAAGCGUCCCGUGCUGGAGGUGGUCAACACAGGGGGGCAGAGGAUUCCUCUCACUGAAACCCGGGGCAGGGCUGCCGCUCUCUGCUUCCGGAUCCUGUCGUGAGAGACACGUGCUGGAGCUCCCGCUUGGCCCAGGAAGGGCCAUUUCGGUAUGUUCCAGUAAAAGCAAAACCCCUGUCAUCUUACCCGCAAGGCCUUCCACAAAGUGUUCUGUCACUGAACAAGCUGGAAGCAAUAUUCCUUUAGGUAGAAGCAGAUGCCUGGGCCGUUAUCCAGAGCUUUGAGCAUCCCUGACAACUAGGAAGACCCAAGCAUCUAGGGUUUCUUGCAUCCGGGUCCCACGCUUAAAUUAAAACAGCAAAAUGGAAAGAUUCUUUAGUUUGGCAAGUACUAGGAAAAAGCAAGAACUUGUUGAGGAUGACAAAGAAGAAGUUGAUGAAGAAAGGAGCCGCAAAUACAGAAAACAAGAUGACUGUUAUUUGUAUUUUGGUUUCAUUAGUGUGAACAAUGAAGAGCACCCACAGUGUGUUUUGUGUUUGAAAA